AUCAGUUAACAAGCAUUCAGGAAGCACCUAAGUAUACAGAGACAAAAAUGAACUGGUCCCUGCCCCAAGGAGCUUCCUCUCUAUUGGGGAAACAUAGGCAAACAAAUACACUACACAAUAAAUACGAAGUAAUGGAGAGGGAGGUGGUAUUAGCCUCUGAGGGGAUUGGGAAAGUCCUCAUGUAGAAGGUGACAUUGGAUUUGGAUUUUGAAGGAAGAUACGGACUCUGGGAUUCUAAGAGGUAGAGAUGAGAUGAGAAGAGCGAGGCUGACCUCCAAACUGACACCCGGACCGCCGCCCCAUUCUCUGUGCCUCUGAUGACUCUCAUCUUCACCUCACGAGGGUUAGACCUCCUGGGGUGGCAUGGUUCAGAGUGGAAAGAGUAUUAGCUCUGAAGUCAAAGGAACUGGGUUCAAAUCCUGCCGCCGAUGCUUACUACAUUACUACAGGGCUUUGCGCACAGCAAUUGGGGUUAAGUGACUUGCCCAGGGUCACACGGCUAGUAAUAUCAUUUGAAACUGGAAUGUUCACUGAACAGGUGGCAACAUGAAGCCUUUCUUCAGGUAGGAGAAGCAGGAGAAAGCCACGGAGGCUUCUUGAACAAGGGAGUGACCAGCUCUGUGGAAGAAUGUGGAAGACGUGUUGUCAGGACCCAAAGGAAUGAACAACUAAUGGUAAAAAUCCUAUUGACUCUUCUGCCCUUCCCUCCCCAAGCCAUCCUGCCUCUUCAACUGGCUGGAAUGAAUUUCUUAAAGCACAGGUCUGACCAUGUUCCACUCAGCCUCCCCACCCCCCCAAUCAAUACAUUCCAAUGGGUCUGAUUAUCUCCAGCAUCCAACUGAAAUGCCCUUGUUUGUGUAAAAUACUUUUCUCCUCUGAAAAAUGGGGAUAAUCAUGCCUGUAGUAUCUACCUCAAAGGACUCUUGUGAGGCAUAUAGAUGAGAUACCCUAUAUAGGGUGCCCCAAAAGUCUUAGUGAAGCUUGGAGCUAUUAAGGUUUUUGGGACAUCCUGUAUCAAGGGUUUUACAA